rnacentral:tRNA from 1 species
AGCCCGGUAGCAUUAUUAAAUACCGAAUGUAGCGGACAAGCAUAGAGGCCUUUGGAGCCUUUGACCCCAGUUCGAAUCUGGGCCGGGCUA